rnacentral:lncRNA from 1 species
ACACAUAGCAUGGAUGAGGAGUAUGAACACAACAAGUUCAUCACAAGUUCACACAAAUCCAAACCCCCAAACAUAGGUUAUUUUCCCCCAAAGGCUAAAUCUAUCUAAGAACUCACCUAGUAGAAGAAGAAGAUGAUGUUGGUGAGCAUGAUGAGUAGAAAAUGGUGAUGAUGAGCUUUUCCUUUUCUCCUCCAAGCCUUUCUUCCUUCUUUCUCUCUUCUUCUUUCUUCUCUUUUCCUCUUCUCUACUCUUCCCUUUCUUCUUUUCUUUCUUUCUGAUAACUCUUUCUCUCUU